rnacentral:rRNA from 1 species
UACGAAGGGGGCUAGCGUUGCUCGGAAUCACUGGGCGUAAAGCGCACGUAGGCGGAUUGCUAAGUCAGGGGUGAAAUCCUGGAGCUCAACUCCAGAACUGCCUUUGAUACUGGAGAGCUUGAGUCCGGAAGAGGUGAGUGGAACUCCGAGUGUAGAGGUGAAAUUCGUAGAUAUUCGGAAGAAACACCAGUGGCGAAGGCGGCUCACUGGUCCGGUACUGGACGCUGAGGUGGCGAAAAGCGUG